UAGGGAAUCUUCGGCAAUGGACGAAAGUCUGACCGAGCAACGCCGCGUGAGUGAAGAAGGUUUUCGGAUCGUAAAACUCUGUUGUUAGAGAAGAACAAGGACGUUAGUAACUGAACGUCCCCUGACGGUAUCUAACCAGAAAGCCACGGCUAACUACGUGCCAGCAGCCGCGGUAAUACGUAGGUGGCAAGCGUUGUCCGGAUUUAUUGGGCGUAAAGCGAGCGCAGGCGGUUUCUUAAGUCUGAUGUGAAAGCCCCCGGCUCAACCGGGGAGGGUCAUUGGAAACUGGGAGGCUAGAGUGCGGAAGGGGAGAGUGGAAUUCCUAGUGUAGCGGUGAAAUGCGUAGAUAUAUGGAAGAACACCAGUGGCGAAGGCGGCACUCUGGUCUGUAACUGACGAUGAGGCUCGAAAGCGUGGGGAGCAAACAGG
rnacentral:rRNA from 1 species